GGUUACGUAGCUCAGCGGUUAGAGCGUUCGCCUGUUAAGCGAAGGGUCGCUGGUUCAAAUCCAGCCGUGAUCGCAA
rnacentral:tRNA from 1 species